CUGGGAAGGACUGCUGCGUUCCAGAGCGAGAACACGCAGCGGCUCUGAAGAGUUAGCAAGAACCGGCCGAGAGAGUCCUGUGAUAGGUCUGAGGUGUCCCCAUCCUGCCUGCGCCCACGGCUCCGGGCUCUGCGACACUUUGGACCCCACGAGCGGCAGCAAGAUGCUCGGCCGACUCUGGGCACUGGCGCUGCUGCUCCUGGCCCCGGGGCAAGGUCGGCAAGCUCGGGAGUGCUCUCCUGGGGGACACCGGUUUCUUCAGAGUCCUUACAGAAGUGUGCAUUUUGACUCAAUGCACCUCCAGCAUUCUCCCUCUCAAGACCUGAUAUGUGACCAUUCUCUCUCUCCCGGAUGGUAUCGGUUUCUCAUCUUUGACAGACCUGCUGAGAUGCCAACCAAAUGUGUUGAGGUGAAUCACUGUGGAACACAGGCCCCCAUCUGGCUAUCUCUGAGAGAUUCAGAGACACUGCCUUCACCUGGAGAGAUCAAGCAACUGACAGCUUGUGCCACGUGGCAGUUUUCAUUUAGUGCUACAAAAGACUGCUGCCUUUUUCAAAUCCCAGUGUCUGUAAGAAACUGUGGAAACUUUUUUGUGUACUUACUACAGCCCACUCAGGGAUGUAUGGGAUAUUGUGCACAAGGUCAGCUGUCUGCCUCAUUGCCACCACCACCCCCAGAAAGGCCCAAAGUUGUGGUGGAGCUGAUUGGAUCCAGGCUUUUCUGUAGGUGUGCUUUUGAGGUUUCCUCUACAAACACCUCAGUGGGAUUUCUCAUAACUUGGUCUAGGCUUUCUUCUCAAGAAGUGAAAGAAGAGCUGAAGCAAGAGACCACAGUUCAGGCAUCCUCUCUUUUAGAACUGGAUGGCAUAAAUCUCAGGCUCGGAGAUAGGAUAUUCUGUAGUGCUUCCGUCUUUUUAUUGGAGAAACCACAUGUACAGAGUUUAGCCAUCGAAAGCCAAGAAUUUUUUGCAGGCAUUAAGUUACACCCAGAGUUAAGCAUUAUAUCAGAAGAUGGGAAAGAAUAUCAGUUGAAGAUAGCGAGCACAGUUCCUGUCAUUUGUUCUGAACCCAGUGAGCUUGGCCAGCAGUGCAAAAUCUCAUUAAAACUGAAAACUGUUGAUCAAGGUAAAGAACAGCGAGGUUUAAAUUUGGCGCUGUCUUCCUGUCACGUGGACCUUCACCGGACAUCGUCCUGUGCUAAUGGAUCAUGUAGCCAUGCUUUGGUUUACUACACUGCUGUGACAGAUUUUUCUCGAGAUGGAGACAGAGUGACAAACAUUGUAGUGGAACCUAUAGUACAUGAGGAUUUCCUGUGGAAUAGCUACAUUCCAGACAGCAUCCAGAUCAAAGUAAAGGAUGUCCCAACUGCUUACUGCUAUUCAUUUACUGACCCACAUAUAAUUACAUUUGAUGGCAGGGUAUAUGAUAAUUUCAAAACUGGAACAUUUGUGCUUUAUAAGAGUGUGUCACGUGACUUUGAAGUCCAUGUACGCCAGUGGGACUGUGGAAGCCUUCACUAUCCUGUGUCGUGUAACUGCGGGUUUGUUGCCAAAGAAGAAGGUGAUGUUGUUACUUUUGAUAUGUGCAGUGGUCAGCUACAUGAAUCACAGCCAUAUUUAUCUGUCAAGAGCCAAGAUGUAACCAGCAAUAUCAAGAUAAGUGAAUCCUACUUAGGAAGAAAAGUCACAGUCAGGUUUUCUUCUGGAGCAUUUAUCCGUGCUGAUCUUAGUGAAUGGGGCAUGAGUUUAACAAUCAGAGCCCCUAGCCUAGACUAUAGAAACACUUUGGGACUUUGUGGCACCUUUGAUGAAAACCCAGAAAAUGAUUUCCAUAAUAAAAAUGGGAUAAAAAUUGAUCUAACUUUUGAUAAUUGUGUUGCUUUUAUUAAUGAAUGGAGGAUUUUGCCAGGGAAAAGCAUGUUUGACACAAUGCCAGUUUCUCCGCCUUCACCUGGAAAAUUGUCCUAUUGUAGCUGCUCAUCAGACACUAAUUCUUUAUAUCCUUCCAAUCGUCUGGACAGUGCUUCUCAACAAGAGAUUGUUUCAGGUUGCAGAGAUCUCAAACAUGUCAGAUUCUCUUUCUUGAUACCAGAACUAGAUGUCACCUCUGAGUAUAUUAAUUCAGAAGCUCUUAUCAGAGGGAUAAAUGAGUAUACAUCUGGAGAAGAAAAUAAUUCGAACUUCCUUCCUCAAGAAAAAAAGCAUGUGAACCUAACCAAACUGGAAUUACAUUUACAAAAACAUCCUGGAAAUGAAAAACAAGAGGCACCAAAAACUCUGGACAAUGGGAAACAUACACGGGGCGAGGGUAGUCACAGCCAGGAAAUGAGGAGGGAUCCACAAAACAGAUGGAAACGGCAAAACUUUUAUGAGUUUAUUCCUAUGUUUGCUUUCCAAAGUCUUAGCCAAAGUGACCUAGAAGAACUUGCUUAUUUCUUCCCUGAGGACCAUAUUGAGGAUGUCCACCAGGAGUUUGUCCCUACAUGGCCCACACCCUCUGGUCUCACCGAACAUGGAACUUUGGCGCUCUGCCAGCAGACUCUUGCCAACUCUAGCAUAGGAAGAUACUGUCUCGCCUUUCUGGGCAAGAGCCUAGACACUGCUAUAGAUAUGUGUGUUAAAGAUGUUCUCCUAAAAGAUGAUCUUAGCUGGGCAGAAGCCGGCGUGGCUCUUUUAGAAAAUGAAUGUGAAAAGAGAAUUUUGGAAGAGGGGAAACACAGCACAGAAGAAUACAGCAAGUCAGUUGAAGACAUUCUCGAGGUCCUCAAAUGCCCCAGUUUAUGCAGUGGCAAUGGGGAGUGUGUGGAAUGGGGAUGCGCAUGCUCCGCAGGCUUUAGUUCCUAUGACUGCAGUGAUUCACACGACAAGGCUCCUGAAAUUAUAGAACUCGAGAAUGCUGGAUUCUGUAAUAUUCGAAAAUAUAAUUGUAUGACAGUGAGAGUGUUUGGUCAAGGCUUCAAAGAAUCACCUUCAAUUAAAUGUGAAAUUACUAAACUGCAGUAUAAUAACAGUAAAUGGGUCCUUGGAAAAGCUGUCUACACGAAUACUGUUUUUCAAAAUAGCAGAACCAUUGAUUGUCAGCUGCCCCCUGAUGUCCAACAGUCUGAUACUGUAAUUCUGAUGGGGGAGAAACCAAUUGCAAAGUGGCAAAUAAAGGUAUCUAAUGAUGGUUAUAAGUUCAGUAAUCCCAGAAUAAUGAUCAUAUAUGAUGGGGCUUGUCAAGUUUGUGGUCUCUAUGGGAAGGACUCAUGUACUGUAAAGGAAAAUGUUUGCAUUAUUGAUGGGCUCUGCUACGUUGAAGGAGAUGAAAAUCCUACCAGCCCUUGUUUGAUUUGUAGACCAAAAAUUUCAAAAUUUACUUGGUCAUUUUUAGAAAACAACCAACCCCCAGUGAUUCAAAUACCGCAAGACAAAUUGCAGACAUUUUUGGGGGAGAACUUUGCGUACCAGUUCACGGCCUUGGAUCCUGAAGGUUCUGACAUCCAUUUUACCUUGGACUCAGGUCCUGAGGGAGCAGAUGUUUCCUCUACAGGACUUCUCACAUGGAAAACAGAGUCCCAGACUCCACAGCAAUUCACUUUACUCUUUAACGACGACUGCAAUGCUGAAACGAGAGUCACGAUUAUGGUGACUGUGAAGUCUUGUGAUUGCUUGAAUGGUGGAUCAUGUGUGUCAGAUAGGAAGUUUCCUCCAGGAAGUGGAAUGUACCUGUGCAUCUGCUUGCCUGGCUUUGAGGGGGUUCUCUGUGAAGUGAACGUCACUGAGUGUCAAUCGAACCCCUGUGGCCUUGGCAGGUGUAUUAGUGGGUUUCCCAGUUAUUCUUGUGUAUGUCCACCUGAACUCAAAGGCAAAAAUUGCCAGGAAGAUGUUGAUGAGUGUGAAUCCAGGCCUUGCUUUCCAGGAGCAGAGUGUCUCAAUACCUUUGGCUCCUAUCAUUGUGGUGCAUGUCCAAAAGGAUUUUAUGGUGAUGGGAAAAUAUGUCAUGAUAUAAAAUUUCAGUCACCAUCAACAGAUCAUUCAUCAUCCGGUGCAAGCUUUACCCACAGGCCUGCCUCUAUCAAAAAGUUCUUGAACACAACCAGUGACAUCUCACACUUCUCAUUAAAAUCAGUUACAACUCAAAUGAAUAAUUCAAAAAACAUUAUUUCCCGUCAGAUACCAGGGUUUGAACAGGCAGAUCAUACUAUCACUACAAAUCUCAGUCUGGAGGAAUUGGGAGUGUCGACGAAAAACCAUAUUUCUUUAAGCAUCAACCCAAAUGGUUCCCCUGGUGAAGUAAAGGAUGUUAAACAGAGCACUAUCCAGACAGAGGCUGGAGGGAAUAAUUCUCAAAUUAACAGGCCUGCCAAAGGUUACACACAGGAUAAGGAUGGGUUUGCCUCAUCGGUUACUAGAGCCAUCACUAUUUUGCCAGAAAAGCCUGGAUGGACCAGAAUAUCAACUUGUGCUGAUUCACCUUGUUUUCUUGGUGUUUCUUGUGUGCCAACCACAGAUGGUCACUUCCAGUGUGGACGCUGCCCCCUUGGAUAUUAUGGAGAUGGUAUCAAUUGCAGAGCCAUUUGUAGACACCCAUGUGGAAAAAGCAGGGUGUGUGUUGCCCCAAACAUAUGCAGGUGUAAACCUGGCUACACUGGUUCUAACUGCCAAACUGCUAUAUGUCAUCCUGAUUGCAGAAACCAUGGAAAAUGUAUUAAGCCUAACGUUUGUGAAUGUCCCCCAGGGCAUGGUGGAGCAACAUGUGAUGAAGAACACUGUAGUCCACCUUGUCAACAUGGCGGCACCUGCUUGGCUGGAAAUCUCUGCACUUGUCCUUAUGGUUUUAUAGGACCAAGGUGUGAAACAAUGGUUUGUAACAGGCACUGUGAAAAUGGAGGUGAAUGUCUUACACCAGAUACCUGCCAGUGCAAGCCUGGCUGGUAUGGACCUACUUGUGGUACAGCUUUGUGUGACCCCGUUUGCCUCAAUGGUGGUUCCUGUAAUAAGCCAAACACUUGCCUUUGUCCAAAUGGAUUCUUUGGUGCACAGUGUCAGAAUGCUCUCUGUCACCCUCCCUGUAAGAAUGGCGGACGCUGCAUGAGAAAUAACGUGUGUGCCUGUCGUGAGGGAUACACUGGUAGGAGAUGCCAAAAAAGUAUCUGUGAUCCAAUGUGCAUGAAUGGAGGAAAAUGCAUGGGACCAAAUAUUUGCUCUUGUCCUUCUGGUUGGAGAGGGAAACAAUGCAACAUAGCUAUCUGCUUUCAGAAAUGUAAAAAUGGUGGUGAGUGUAUUGCUCCCAGUAUAUGCCAUUGUCCUACCACAUGGGAAGGAGUGCAGUGUCAAAUACCAAUUUGCAAUCAAAAGUGUCUUCAUGGAGGCAGAUGUGUAUUUCCCAAUGUGUGCUCUUGUCGUGAUGGAUAUUCUGGAGUCAAAUGUGAAAAGAAAGUACAGGAAACAAACAAACAAACAAGUACCAUUUAUGAGCAUUCACAGAACCUUCCCUGACUCCUACCUACUCCUUUCCUGCUUCUUGGCCCUUCUUCCAGCAUCCUGAGACAAAACGCCAUUAAUAUCAAGUAUGUGAAUCACAAGCCUGUCAUAAGAAUGAAAUUUUUAUUCAGAAAAAGCUGAAGAUAAUUAUUUGAAGUUUAUUUGAACAUAAUUUUAAAAAUUAUUUUAAAGACUGAAGAAACUAAUAACAUAUAGAAUGAUCUUACCUAUCAUUGUUAGAGAAAAGCGAAGAAGAAAUCCAGGUAAUCUGAAUGGACUUUGAAAUGUGAUUUGAUAUUUACUUAUUAAAAUGAUGUAUCUGAUAUUUAAGACAUUCACAUUAUCUAAUAAACUGAGUAUUUCCCAGUU